AGUGAACGCUGGCGGUAGGCCUAACACAUGCAAGUCGAACGGCAGCACAGUAAGAGCUUGCUCUUACGGGUGGCGAGUGGCGGACGGGUGAGGAAUACAUCGGAAUCUACUUUUUCGUGGGGGAUAACGUAGGGAAACUUACGCUAAUACCGCAUACGACCUACGGGUGAAAGCAGGGGAUCUUCGGACCUUGCGCGAUUGAAUGAGCCGAUGUCGGAUUAGCUAGUUGGCGGGGUAAAGGCCCACCAAGGCGACGAUCCGUAGCUGGUCUGAGAGGAGGAUCAGCCACACUGGAACUGGGACACGGUCCAGACUCCUACGGGAGGCAGCAGUGGGGAAUAUUGGACAAUGGGCGCAAGCCUGGUCCAGCCAUACCGCGUGGGAGAAGGAGGCCUUCGGGUUGUAAAGCCCUUUUGUUGGGAAAGAAAAGCAGCAGGUUAAUACCCCGCUGUUCUGACGGUACCCAAAGAAUAAGCACCGGCUAACUUCGUG
rnacentral:rRNA from 1 species